rnacentral:tRNA from 1 species
UGCGGNUGGAUCCCCUCCUUUCUAGAGACUUGCGGCUGGAUUCACCUCCUUUCUAGAGAAGAUAAUAUAAAGGUCUCAAGUAAAGAAAUUUACUUACUCUCUGCUGUUAAUUCAAAUAAUACAAAAGCAAAUAAAACAGAGUCUCGUAGCUCAGCUGGUUAGAGUACUACACUGAUAAUGUAGGGGUCCCCAGUUCGAGUCUGGGCGGGACUACUUAGUUUUAAGCUUGGAAAUUCUAGGGGUUGAGGCUUUAUGAAUAUAAUUCAUAAUUCAUAAUUCACAAUUCGUAAUUAAAUUGGGGGAUUAGCUCAGCUGGCUAGAGCGCCUGCCUUGCACGCAGGAGGUCAACGGUUCGACUCCGUUAUUCUCCACUAUUCGCUUAGGCGAACAAAGUUCAUUGACAUAUUGAGAUAAGAAAAUAAUAAAAAGUAGAAAGUACUAUAAAUAUAUGAUUAGUUAUAUAUUUAUUUAAGUCCUAAAUAUUAAUUUAUUUAGGCGGCACAUAAGCAAAAUAAGGGCGUAUGGGGGGAUGCCUAGACAAAAUAAGGGCGUAUGGGGGGAUGCCUAGACAAA